rnacentral:rRNA from 1 species
GACGAACGCUGGCGGCGUGCCUAAUACAUGCAAGUAGAACGCUGAAGAGAGGAGCUUACUCUUCUUGGAUGAGUUGCGAACGGGUGAGUAACGCGUAGGUAACCUGCCUUGUAGCGGGGGAUAACUAUUGGAAACGAUAGCUAAUACCGCAUAACAAUGGAUGACACAUGUCAUUUAUUUGAAAGGGGCAAUUGCUCCACUACAAGAUGGACCUGCGUUGUAUUAGCUAGUAGGUGAGGUAAUGGCUCACCUAGGCGACGAUACAUAGCCGACCUGAGAGGGUGAUCGGCCACACUGGGACUGAGACACGGCCCAGACUCCUACGGGAGGCAGCAGUAGGGAAUCUUCGGCAAUGGGGGCAACCCUGACCGAGCAACGCCGCGUGAGUGAAGAAGGGUGUCGGAUCGUAAAGCUCUGUUGUAAGUCAAGAACGGGUGUGAGAGUGGAAAGUUCACACUGUGACGGUAGCUUACCAGAAAGGGACGGCUAACUACGUG